rnacentral:tRNA from 1 species
GGGCCCAUAGCUCAGUUGGUAGAGCCUCCGGCUCAUAACCGGAUCGUCCCUGGUUCGAGACCAGGUGGGCCCACCA